rnacentral:misc_RNA from 1 species
AAGUCGUAACAAGGUUUCCGUAGGUGAACCUGCGGAAGGAUCAUCAAUGAAAAAAUCCAGCCAAAACACUUGGGCAUUCUAGCCUGGUUGGUUGUCAUUUUUGACAUCAAGUAGGUCUAAGUUUUUUUAGACCAGGGAAUUGACGGAAAAAAAUUAGACCAGAAAUUGGUCAAGGUAAACUUUCAGGUUCAAGUUUAACUCUUGACCUGAUAUUUACACUAGAAAAAAAACAACUUUCGGCAACGGAUCUCUCGGCUCUCC